GAUGAACGCUAGCGGCAGGCCUAAUACAUGCAGGUCGAACGGUGUCUUCGGACAUAGUGGCGCACGGGUGCGUAACACCUAUGCAACCUACCUUACAUUGGGGGAUAGCCUUUCGAAAGGGAGAUUAAUACCGCAUAAGACAGUAGCUGGGCAUCCAGCAGCUGUUAAAGAUUUAUCGAUGUAAGCUGGGCAUGCGUCCAAUUAGCUAGUUGGUGAGGUAACGGCUCACCAAGGCAAUGAUUGGUAGGGGAACUGAGAGGUCAAUCCCCCACACUGGCACUGAGAUACGGGCCAGACUCCUAUGGGAGGCAGCAGUAGGGAAUAUUGGGCAAUGGACGCAAGUCUGACCCAGCCAUGCCGCGUGCAGGAUGAAGGCGUUAUGCGUUGUAAACUGCUUUUAUACAGGAAGAAACGACUCUUGCGAGAGGCAUUGACGGUACUGUAUGAAUAAGCACCGGCUAACUCCGUGCCAGCAGCCGCCGUAAAAC
rnacentral:rRNA from 1 species